rnacentral:tRNA from 1 species
GGGAUAGCUCAGUUAGGUAGAGCAGGUGACUCAGAAUCAUCGUGUCGCGGGUUCAACUCCCGCUCCAAGCG